AUGAACGCUGGCGGCGUGCUUAACACAUGCAAGUCGAACGAUGACCCGGUGCUUGCACCGGUGAUUAGUGGCGAACGGGUGAGUAACACGUGAGUAACCUGCCCUUGACUCUGGGAUAAGCCUGGGAAACUGGGUCUAAUACCGGAUAUGACUCCUCAUCGCAUGGUGGGGGGUGGAAAGCUUUUUGUGGUUUUGGAUGGACUCGCGGCCUAUCAGCUUGUUGGUGAGGUAAUGGCUUACCAAGGCGACGACGGGUAGCCGGCCUGAGAGGGUGACCGGCCACACUGGGACUGAGACACGGCCCAGACUCCUACGGGAGGCAGCAGUGGGGAAUAUUGCACAAUGGGCGCAAGCCUGAUGCAGCGACGCCGCGUGAGGGAUGACGGCCUUCGGGUUGUAAACCUCUUUCAGUAGGGAAGAAGCGAAAGUGACGGUACCUGCAGAAGAAGCGCCGGCUAACUACGU
rnacentral:rRNA from 1 species